GUAGUACACCUCUUCAUAAGGCUGCUGAGGGUGGUCACAGUGAUGUAGCAGUUCUACUCAUUCAGCACGGAGCUGAUCCCUGCAGUACAGACUGGUUUGGACGUACACCUCUUCAUAAGGCUGCUGGGGGUGGUCACAGCGAUGUAGCAGCUCUACUCAUUCAGCACGGAGCUGAUCCCUGCAGUACAGACGUGUGGGGUCGUACACCUCUUCAUUAUGCUGCUGGGGGUGGUCAUAGCGAUGUAGCAGCUCUACUCAUUCAGCACGGAGCUGAUCUCUGCAGUACAG